rnacentral:lncRNA from 1 species
AAAUGUGUUAUCAAUCACAGUUGGAAUACACAUUGAGAAGGGAUUGUAUGUCAGAAAACACAAAUACUACAGAGUUUAUUAACCACUAAAACACAACUAAUAAAUCAUUUUCAAUUAUAUACUGUUUUUCUUAGUCUCUUGUUUCAUGAUGCUAGCACUAAUGAUUGAUUAUUUCUCACAUCCUGAGCCAGCCUCUGAUAUUUCUACUUCUUGGUCUUGGGCUGUGAAUAUGCUUCACUUGGUGAAUCAAUUUCAGCAACACUGCUAGACCGUGCUUCAGUUUCAGCCUUUUCUUCUCCAUGAACUAAUGCCUGAAAAAGGUCAAAAUUGUCAAUAGCACGGAAGCAUAAUUAACAAUUAAUAAGAAAAAUAUGUACAGUUCUAGCUCCCAUGCUCUCAUUCACAUUCUUCAUUGUAUGCUCCUCAAGAGUAGCCACAUUCAUGUUCGAUUGUGAUGCAGUUGUGGCUGCGUGGGAGGCACCCAUGCCUUUAGGGCUGUCGAUCGAUUCGGGUUCGGUUACCCGAANCCCAAAUUGCCA